CACGCCGCAGGCGGGCCUGGCCGGCCGCCGCGGUUAUCAGCCGCGCGGGCGCGGUCUGGGCGGUUCCAGUUCGAUCAACGCGA
rnacentral:tRNA from 1 species